CCUCCUAUGACAUCAGUGUAUUCUAUACGACCCUUCUGCCAGAAGACAAGACUGAGAUACAGAAGAUCCACAAUGGAGAUGCAGAGAGGAGAGGCCAAGGCUCCUGCAGCAGCACUACCUGCUCUGAUCAGUGAUGGGCUAGCAGGAGGGCAGCUGUGGCCCCUCCCCAAGCUGUGGUCUGGUUCUGGAGGAUGAGAGGGGGGUGUGUGGUUAUGCCCUGGGCCUUACUGACGCCACAGGAG